ensembl:snoRNA small nucleolar RNA SNORA68
CCAGCACCUCAACCCAAGAACUGCUGUUUCUCAUAGCAGCGGUUUAAACAGAGGUGCUAACAGCAAAGUGGAUCUUGUCGCCUUUGGGGGGCUGUGGCUGUGCUCCUCAAAGUGAAUUUGGAGGUUCUACACCC